rnacentral:rRNA from 1 species
GAUGAACGCUGGCGGCGUGCCUAACGCAUGCAAGUCGAACGAUCGGACGCGAAGUUUGUGGCUCUGACGUUAGCGGCGGACGGGAGAGUAACACGUGGAUAAUCUACUUAUCAUCCGGGGAUGACUUCGGGAAUCGGGCGCUUAUACCGGAGAAUAUCAUCAACCGCAUGGUUCAAAAGUGAAAGACGGUGUUGCUGUCACUUACAGAUGGUUCCGCGCUGCAUUAGCUAAUUGGUAAGGUGACGGCUUACCAAGGCCGCGAUGCAUAGCCGACCUGGGCGGGGGAUCGGCCACACUGGAGCUGAGACACGGUCCAGACUCCUACGGGAGGCAGCAGUAGGGAAUCUUCCGCAAUGGGCGAGAGCCUGACGGAGCAACGCCGCGUGAGUGAUGAAGGUCUUCGGAUCGUAAAACUCUGUUAUGAGGGAAGAACAUAUGUGUAAGUAACUGUGCACAUCUUGACGGUACCUAAUCAGAAAGCCACGGCUAACUACGUG